GAUGAACGCUAGCGGCAGGCCUAAUACAUGCAAGUCGAACGGUGUAGCAAUACACAGUGGCGCACGGGUGCGUAACACGUAUGCAACCUACCUUACAUUGGGGGAUAGCCUUUCGAAAGGGAGAUUAAUACCGCAUAAGACAGUAACUAGGCAUCUAGUAGCUGUUAAAGAUUUAUCGAUGUAAGCUGGGCAUGCGUCCAAUUAGUUAGUUGGCGAGGUAAUGGCUCACCAAGACGAUGAUUGGUAGGGGAACUGAGAGGUCAAUCCCCCACACGGGCACUGGGAUACGGGCCAGACUCCUACGGGAGGCAGCAGUAGGGAAUAUUGGGCAAUGGGCGCAAGCCUGACCCAGCCAUGCCGCGUGCAGGAAGAAGGCGUUAUGCGUUGUAAACUGCUUUUAUACAGGAAGAAACGACCCUUGCGAGGGGCAUUGACGGUACCGUAAGAAUAAGGAUCGGCUAACUCCGUGCCAGCAGCCGCCGUAAUAC
rnacentral:rRNA from 1 species